rnacentral:rRNA from 1 species
GUGAGGUAACGGCCCACCAAGGCGACGACGGGUAGCUGGUCUGAGAGGACGAUCAGCCACACUGGGACUGAGACACGGCCCAGACUCCUACGGGAGGCAGCAGUGGGGAAUCUUGCGCAAUGGGCGAAAGCCUGACGCAGCAACGCCGCGUGCGGGAUGAAUGCCUUCGGGUUGUAAACCGCUUUCAGCAGGGACGAUAGUGACGGUACCUGCAGAAGAAGCUCCGGCCAACUACGUGCCAGCAGCCGCGGUAAUACGUAGGGAGCGAGCGUUGUCCGGAAUCAUUGGGCGUAAAGAGCUCGUAGGCGGCUUGGUAAGUCGGAUGUGAAACCUCCAGGCUCAACCUGGAGUCGCCAUCCGAUACUGCCAUAGCUAGAGUCCGGUAGGGGCCCACGGAACUCCUGGUGUAGCGGUGAAAUGCGCAGAUAUCAGGAAGAACACCGGUGGCGAAGGCGGUGGGCUGGGCCGGCACUGACGCUGAGGAGCGAAAGCGUGGGGAGCGAACAGGAUUAGAUACCCUGGUAGUCCACGCCGUAAACGUUGGGCACUAGGUGUGGGACCUUAUCAACGGGUUCCGUGCCGUAGCUAACGCAUUAAGUG